rnacentral:rRNA from 1 species
GACAGAGGUCCCGAGCGUUAGGCGGAAUCACUGGGCUUAAAGCGUGUGUAGGCGGAUUUGUAAGUACCUUGUGAAAAUCCCACGGCUUAACCGUGGAACUGCUUGGUAUACUGCUUAUCUUGGGCCAUCUAGGGGCUACUGGAACAAACGGUGGAGCGGUGAAAUGCGUAGAUAUCGUUUGGAACGCCAAUGGUGAAAACAAGUAGCUGGGGAUGUGCCGACGCUGAGACACGAAAGCCAGGGGAGCAAACGGG